rnacentral:rRNA from 1 species
ACGACGCUGGCGGCGUGCUUAACACAUGCAAGUCGAACGGAGAUUCAGCAAUGGAUCUUAGUGGCGAACGGGUGAGUAACGCGUAGGCAAUCUGCCUUCUAGAUGGGGACAACAUCCCGAAAGGGGUGCUAAUACCGAAUGUUGUAUGAUUUUUCGCAUGGAGAUGAUACUAAAGGUGGCCUCUGAAUAUGCUACCGCUAGAAGAUGAGCCUGCGUCUGAUUAGCUAGUUGGAGGGGUAACGGCCCACCAAGGCUUCGAUCAGUAGCCGGUCUGAGAGGAUGAACGGCCACACUGGGACUGAGACACGGCCCAGACUCCUACGGGAGGCAGCAGUGGGGAAUCUUCCGCAAUGGACGAAAGUCUGACGGAGCAACGCCGCGUGAGUGAAAGAAGGUCUUCGGAUCGUAAAGCUCUUUCGUCAGGGACGAACGUAUUUCUUGUAAAUAAUGAGAGAUAGUGACGGUACCUGAAUAAGAAGCCACGGCUAACUACGUGCCAGCCGCUGC